AUAAUGGUGUGUUUGUGGACACAUCAUCAAUUUCAAAAAAAAAAGAAAAAGAAGAUGAUAGUGACAAUGAAGAUGGAAGAAAUACAAAUCAAGAUAAAGUGCCAAAGAAGAUAGACCAUAUUGUGCAUUCAAUUGUUAGAAUCAACAAUGAAUACAAUGAAGAUAUUAAUGAUAAUGAUGAUGAUGAGGAAUAUCAACCUUUAAGUGAGAAAAAAUAAGCUUUAAGGAAGAAGAAAGCUUA
rnacentral:lncRNA from 1 species